rnacentral:rRNA from 1 species
UAGGGAAUAUUGGGCAAUGGACGUAAGUCUGACCCAGCCAUGCCGCGUGCAGGAUGACGGCGCUUAGCGUUGUAAACUGCUUUUGUUAAGGAAGAAACCCUCUUUGCGAAGAGGUAUGACGGUACUUAAAGAAUAAGCAUCGGCUAACUACGUGCCAGCAGCCGCGGUAAUACGUAGGAUGCAAGCGUUGUCCGGAAUUAUUGGGUUUAAAGGGUGUGUAGGUUGUUACAUAAGUCAGCGGUGAAAUACAUUUGCUUAACAGAUAGUAAGCCGUUGAUACUGUGUGGCUAGAGUGCGAUAUAGGUGGGCGGAAUUUGUAAUGUAGCGGUGAAAUGCAUAGAUAUUACAAGGAACGUCGAUAGCGAAGGCAGCUCACUGUGUCUGCACUGACACUGAGACA